rnacentral:rRNA from 1 species
AGAGUUUGAUCCUGGCUCAGGAUGAACGCUAGCGGCAGGCUUAACACAUGCAAGUCGAGGGGCAGCGGGGAGGAAGCUUGCUUUCUCCGCCGGCGACCGGCGCACGGGUGAGUAACACGUAUGCAACCUGCCCCUGUCAGGGGGACAACCCGCCGAAAGGCGGGCUAAACCCGCGUACAUGCCACCGGGGCAUCCCGGAGGCAGGAAAGGCUUCGGCCGGACAGGGAUGGGCAUGCGGCGCAUUAGGCAGUAGGCGGGGUAACGGCCCACCUAACCGACGAUGCGUAGGGGUUCUGAGAGGAAGGUCCCCCACACUGGUACUGAGACACGGACCAGACUCCUACGGGAGGCAGCAGUGAGGAAUAUUGGUCAAUGGUCGGGAGACUGAACCAGCCAAGCCGCGUGAGGGAGGAAGGUACAGAGUAUCGUAAACCUCUUUUGUCAGGGAACAAAGACUGGGACGCGUCCCCGGAUGAGUGUACCUGAAGAAAAAGCAUCGGCUAACUCCGUGCCAGCAGCCGCGGUAAUACGGAGGAUGCGAGCGUUAUCCGGAUUUAUUGGGUUUAAAGGGUGCGCAGGCGGUCUGUUAAGUCAGCGGUCAAAGCCCGGGGCUCAACCCCGGCCCGCCGUUGAAACUGGCAGUCUCGAGUUGGAGAGAAGUAUGCGGAAUGCGCGGUGUAGCGGUGAAAUGCAUAGAUAUCGCGCAGAACUCCGAUUGCGAAGGCAGCAUGCCGGCUCCACACUGACGCUGAGGCACGAAAGCGUGGGUAUCGAACAGGAUUAGAUACCCUGGUAGUCCACGCAGUAAACGAUGAAUGCUGGCUGUCCGGGGGGACUGACCCCUGGGUGGCGAAGCGAAAGCGAUAAGCAUUCCACCUGGGGAGUACGCCGGCAACGGUGAAACUCAAAGGAAUUGACGGGGGCCCGCACAAGCGGAGGAACAUGUGGUUUAAUUCGAUGAUACGCGAGGAACCUUACCCGGGCUCAAACGGGGAGUGGCGCAGGCAGAGACGCCUGUUUCCCACGGGACACUCCCCGAGGUGCUGCAUGGUUGUCGUCAGCUCGUGCCGUGAGGUGUCGGCUUAAGUGCCAUAACGAGCGCAACCCCCGCGUGCAGUUGCUAACAGUCAACGCUGAGGACUCUGCACGGACUGCCGGCGCAAGCCGCGAGGAAGGCGGGGAUGACGUCAAAUCAGCACGGCCCUUACGUCCGGGGCGACACACGUGUUACAAUGGGUGGUACAGCGGGAAGCCAGGCGGCGACGCCGAGCGGAACCCGAAAUCCACUCUCAGUUCGGAUCGGAGUCUGCAACCCGACUCCGUGAAGCUGGAUUCGCUAGUAAUCGCGCAUCAGCCAUGGCGCGGUGAAUACGUUCCCGGGCCUUGCACACACCGCCCGUCA